rnacentral:rRNA from 1 species
GUGGGGAAUCUUGCGCAAUGGGCGAAAGCCUGACGCAGCCAUGCCGCGUGAAUGAUGAAGGUCUUAGGAUUGUAAAAUUCUUUCACCGGGGACGAUAAUGACGGUACCCGGAGAAGAAGCUCCGGCUAACUUCGUGCCAGCAGCCGCGGUAAUACGAAGGGGGCUAGCGUUGCUCGGAAUUACUGGGCGUAAAGGGCGCGUAGGCGGACAGCUUAGUCAGAGGUGAAAGCCCAGGGCUCAACCUUGGAAUUGCCUUUGAUACUGGUUGUCUUGAGUUUGGGAGAGGUGAGUGGAACUCCGAGUGUAGAGGUGAAAUUCGUAGAUAUUCGGAAGAACACCAGUGGCGAAGGCGACUCACUGGCCCAAUACUGACGCUGAGGCGCGAAAGCGUGGGGAGCAAACAGGAUUAGAUACCCCAGUAGUCC